GCUUGCUUCAACGGCGCAUAUACUGAAAUUGGAACGAUACAGAGACGAUUAGCAUGGUCCCUGUGCAAGGAUGACAUGCAAAUUUGUGAAGUGUUCCACAUUUUU